UACGUAGGGUGCAAGCGUUAAUCGGAAUUACUGGGCGUAAAGCGUGUGCAGGCGGUUGUGCAAGACAGAUGUGAAAUCCCCGGGCUCAACCUGGGAACUGCAUUUGUGACUGCACGGCUGGAGUGCGGCAGAGGGGGAUGGAAUUCCGCGUGUAGCAGUGAAAUGCGUAGAUAUGCGGAGGAACACCGAUGGCGAAGGCAAUCCCCUGGGCCUGCACUGACGCUCAUGCACGAAAGCGUGGGGAGCAAACAGG
rnacentral:rRNA from 1 species